CCUGUCCCCGAGCUUGGGAUAACCUGUCGAAAGGCGGGCUAAUACCGGAUAUGGCCGUAGGAGCAUCAGCUCUAGCGGUAAAAGGUGGCCUCUGCUUGCAAGCUACCACUGGGGGAGGGGCCUGCGGGCCAUUAGCUAGUUGGUGAGGUAAUGGCUCACCAAGGCGAAGAUGGCUAGCUGGUCUGAGAGGAUGGCCAGCCACACUGGGACUGAAACACGGCCCAG
rnacentral:rRNA from 1 species